rnacentral:rRNA from 1 species
GACGAACGCUGGCGGCGUGCCUAAUACAUGCAAGUAGAACGCACAGUUUAUACCGUAGCUUGCUACACCAUAGACUGUGAGUUGCGAACGGGUGAGUAACGCGUAGGUAACCUGCCUGGUAGCGGGGGAUAACUAUUGGAAACGAUAGCUAAUACCGCAUAAUAUUAAUUAUUGCAUGAUAAUUAAUUGAAAGGUGCAAUUGCACCACUACCAGAUGGACCUGCGUUGUAUUAGCUAGUAGGUGAGGUAACGGCUCACCUAGGCGACGAUACAUAGCCGACCUGAGAGGGUGAUCGGCCACACUGGGACUGAGACACGGCCCAGACUCCUACGGGAGGCAGCAGUAGGGAAUCUUCGGCAAUGGACGAAAGUCUGACCGAGCAACGCCGCGUGAGUGAAGAAGGUUUUCGGAUCGUAAAGCUCUGUUGUAAGAGAAGAACGGGUGUGAGAGUGGGAAGUUCACACUGUGACGGUAUCUUACCAGAAAGGGACGGCUAACUACGUG